GCGCUUCCUUCACCAGCACAUACACUAAAACUGGAAUGAUACAGAGACGAUUAGCAUGGCCCCUGCACAAGGAUGACAUGCAAAUUCGUGAAGUGUUCCAUUUUUUU
rnacentral:snRNA from 1 species